rnacentral:lncRNA from 1 species
CCCCAGGUGGAAGCAUUUGCCCCAGGAUGGUUCUGCCUUCAGUGCUGUUCUCUCCAAGAGUGAGCAUCCAAAUCCUUGCAGUGUCAAAGGCCUCACCCUGGGGAAUUCUGAGUGUCUAGGAACUCCCAUAUGAUGAAGGAAACCAAGGUCUUCUUCUGAGCCACCCUACCUCCUGUACAGAUGUGGCUUCUCCGACACCGUUGCUGGUCCAGGGCAGCCCCAUUACCCCCCAGUUCAGGGCAGUAUUUCCAGAUGCACCAGCUGAAUUCAGGUGGGACAAGCUCUCAUCACAAGUGGCGUCCGUGUGCCCUGCACAGGAUUCAGAAGAGAUCUGAGCUGAGCACUGCCUUCCCCAGCAACUCCUCUUCCUCCAGUCCCAGUUGCCACAAGGAAGGGAGGAGUCCAAGGUUUGAUGAGUAAGUUUCAGUGGAAAACCUUGAUUUGUUUCGUUUGUUUAAUCGUUCUCUUUCAAAGGUCACUGGGGUUUUUGUUUGGAAGGGGAGCAAGCUGCUUGCUUUGAGUGAUCUGCUCUAUUAUGUUUGGUUAUUACAUUUCUCUCUAUAUUCCCAGUAGAUGUGCAUACUAAAUGUGAUUGCCAGCCUAAUGAGCUUCUGAGGUUUAAUUGAGUGCCAUACACGUUAUUAAAUAUCUCUGCAGAAAUCAGACCAAACUAAGAUUGAGGCAGAGGUCAUGAGAUCAUUCAGAAAAUCUCUCCCUUCUCGUUACCCAGCGCAGGUUUUUUUCCAUUAGAGGUUACGUGGACUUUAAAAUCAUCUGCUUCAUUAUUGAUGAGAAAAUUGAAUUAUUUUAAUCUGUGUAUUAUUUUAAGGCUUUGACAGGCAGUCAAACCACCGUGCUAAUCCCUAAUCCCUGAAUAAUCAUCACCCAACAAUUUUAAAAUGUGGUCUCAGAGAGUUACGGGGGAGCCAGGAGUAAAGCAAUCAGAGUUUGCACCUAGGAUGACUUUCAUUA